UACAGAGGUCUCGAGCGUUAGGCGGAAUCACUGGGCUUAAAGCGUGUGUAGGCGGAUCGGUAAGUACCUUGUGAAAUCCCACAGCUUAACUGUGGAACUGCUUGGUAUACUGCCAGUCUUGAGCCAGCUAGGGGCUACCGGAACAAAUGGUGGAGCGGUGAAAUGCGUAGAUAUCAAUUUGGAACGCCCAAUGGUGGAAAACAGGUAGCUGGGGCUGUGCUGACGCUGAGACACGAAAGCCAGGGGAGCAAACGGG
rnacentral:rRNA from 1 species